GACGAACGCUGGCGGCGUGCCUAAUACAUGCAAGUCGAACGCACAGUUUAUACCGUAGCUUGCUACACCAUAGACUGUGAGUUGCGAACGGGUGAGUAACGCGUAGGUAACCUGCCUGGUAGCGGGGGAUAACUAUUGGAAACGAUAGCUAAUACCGCAUAAUAUUAAUUAUUGCAUGAUAAUUAAUUGAAAGGUGCAAUUGCACCACUACCAGAUGGACCUGCGUUGUAUUAGCUAGUAGGUGAGGUAACGGCUCACCUAGGCGACGAUACAUAGCCGACCUGGGAGGGUGAUCGGCCCAACUGGGACUGAGACACGGCCCAGACUCCUACGGGAGGCAGCAGGAGGGAAUCUUCGGCAAUGGACGAAAUGCUGACCGAGCAACGCCGCGGGAGUGAAGAAGGUUUUCGGAUCGGAAAGCUCUGUUGUAAGAGAAGAACGGGUGUGAGAGUGGAAAGUUCACACUGUGACGGUAUCUUACCAGAAAGGGACGGCUAACUACGUG
rnacentral:rRNA from 1 species